AACGGGUGAGUAAUGCAUACGGGAACGUCGCCAGUAGGUGGGAUAGCCGNAAGCCGGAUUAAUACCGCAUACGAUCUACGGAUGAAAGUGGGGGGAUCGCAAGACCUCAUGCUCAUGGAGCGGCCGAUAUCUGAUUAGCUAGUUGGUGGGGUAAAGGCCUACCAAGGCUUCGAUCAGUAGCUGGUCUGAGAGGACGACCAGCCACACUGGAACUGAGACACGGUCCAGACUCCUACGGGAGGCAGCAGUGGGGAAUAUUGGACAAUGGGCGAAAGCCUGAUCCAGCCAUGCCGCGUGUGUGAAGAAGGUCUUCGGAUUGUAAAGCACUUUAAGUUGGGAGGAAGGGUAGUAACCUAAUACGUUGCUACUUUGACGUUACCGACAGAAUAAGCACCGGCUAACUUCGUG
rnacentral:rRNA from 1 species